UAAGAGGAUUCCUGUCAUUCCCGGUUACUGACAAACCCCGAGGUUAAGGUUCAGAUUUCCCUGCUUAUGCAACUGAUUGUUUUUUCCAAUCUGCGCUGGAUUCUCUUCAUCAUCUGAGUCAGAGCCGUGCGGAUGCUCCGCUCCAUAUAAGGAGUUCAGACCCAUCAGGAAACGCUUCAGUCCGGAUCAUUUGCACGCAUUGCAGCCUGUGUUUGAGUUCCUGAUGAUGUCCUGUGAGGAUGAGGAGGAUCACAGAUACACGCUUCAGCUCUCAGCAGCAAAACACUCACAGCAGGAUGCAUGUGACAAAAUGAGAGACACUGGUAAAAAGAGUCGCUCGAAUGCAGCUGGCCGGCUGAAGAGAGUCGUGUCCUGCAAGAGAAAAACACGCCAUCACGUGACGGGACCCGGCG